UACGGAGGGUGCAAGCGUUGUUCGGAAUCACUGGGCGUAAAGCGCGUGUAGGCGGCUUCUUAAGUCUGGUGUGAAAGCUCGGGGCUUACCCCCGGAAGUGCACUGGAGACUGGGAGGCUAGAGUACCGGAGAGGAAGGUGGAAUUCCUGGUGUAGCGGUGAAAUGCGUAGAUAUCAGGAGGAACACCGGUGGCGAAGGCGGCCUUCUGGACGGCUACUGACGCUGAGACGCGAAAGCGUGGGGAGCAAACAGG
rnacentral:rRNA from 1 species